GUCCUACGGGUGGCUGCAGUGGGGGAUAUUGCACAAUGGGGGAAACCCUGAUGCAGCAACGCCGCGUGAAGGAAGAAGGUCUUCGGAUUGUAAACUUUUGUCUUGCGGGACGAAUAAUGACGGUACCGCAGGAGGAAGCCACGGCUAACUACGUGCCAGCAGCCGCGGUAAUACGUAGGUGGCGAGCGUUGUCCGGAAUUACGGGGUGUAAAGGGUGCGUAGGCGGAUUUGCAAGUCAGGUGUGAAAACUAUCGGCUUAACCGGUAGCCUGCACUUGAAACUGUAAGUCUUGAGUGGUGAAGAGGUAAGCGGAAUUGCUAGUGUAGCGGUGAAAUGCGUAGAUAUUAGGAGGAACACCAGUGGCGAAGGCGGCUUACUGGGCACUAACUGACGCUGAGGCACGAAAGCAUGGGGAGCAAACAGGAUUAGAUACCCUUGUAGUC
rnacentral:rRNA from 1 species